UGCAGACAGACAUUUCAUUUUGGCCGAGAAGGACACAGCAGGGAAAAAGCCUCCGGGACUCACGUGACUGCAUUUCCUAACUCUUCAUCCAGCUUUAAAAAUCAGGGGAUUUCCUUUGCUAGUCUUUGGGGAAGAAGUUUAGGACCUAAAAUCUAGGCCAGCGUACCCUUUCUCUCACUGCGUGGAUAUUUCCACUCUAACGAUGUCAACAGCAGCCUUUCAAAAGCGAACAGCUACAGCCUCUCAGUGCCCCACAUGGAGUCACAUUACUGCCUGCUAGGCACGGGGUUUUGCUCCACAGCCUCCAUUCACCUUACUUCCAGGAAGACAGACCAAGUUCCCACCUCCUCCACUUUCUGUCCAGAAGCUCCCACCACCCCGGUAAGCUCCAGACGUAGAGCAUAUGACUCAACUUGGCCAAUCACAGCAUCACACUCUCUGGCCCGCAGUGACUCAAUCGAAUCCAGUGAGAUGAGCUGAGAGUUUUGCUGAACUACUGCAGAAAAGGCACCUGCUCUUUGCCUGUGGAUCUGAAUCUGGAAGGAUGAUGGCUGGCAGCCAUUUGCUACCAGCGGCGCCUGAGGAAGUAACCAACACACGCAGGAGAGGAGAGGCUCAGGGUGGAGACAAAUAGCUCCUGACCACAUCAUCUGGGCCCCUGGGAGCCACCAUGCAUGAAGAAACUCUGACCUCAAAAUGUCACUCUAAAUAACCAAGGAGCAAGAUCUCAAAAGUUGCAAACAUCUGUGGUUUCAAAGAUGAAGAAAACAGGUUCCAGAAGAUGCUCCAGCCACUGAAUUCCUCUUUAGCAAUUCAUUUCCUGAAAAAUGGACAUGAGGCUGGAGUAAACGUGGCCAGCCAACCAGAUGCAAUGCUCUGAAGUUAACAGAAGUUUGUCUGAUGUGCAUUGAAUGACUAUAAUUCCUUUUCUAGUAUCCCUAGCAGUUACAGAGAGGUUUCUGUGAGUGUGACCCUUGGCCCGGAUUUUAAAUAAUACUAUGCUUUGCUGCAAUGCUGUUUUCUGAGAGUUUACAUCUUUGGGGUAUGUUUUUAAUAUGUGCCUCAUAAUAGGUCAAACUAUCCUCUGAGAUCCAAGCUAGAUCUCCCAAGUAUAGACUAUGUUAUAGAUCUAGGGGUAAACAGUGGUUUCCGUGUCAAACUUUUGAUCCAUCAUUAUUCUGUGAUCCUCCAGGAAGGAGGGCUCAGAUGCAAAUGACCAAAAGUGGGCACAGUUUGCAAGGAGGCAUUAGUAUUUCACUUUGCAAAACAUGUUAGUCCUGCAGCAAGGUCUGGAGAUGCAGAUGGGUAGGCUGAGAGAGCAGGAGACGCAGAUGCUGGAGCCCUCACCUUGGGAUUUACCAAGGCAUGUGGCUCCAACUGGGUAUUGGUUUUCCCUGGAGCAGGGCAUGACCUUUUAACCAGUCUUCCCUUUUUCAUGCUCCCUUAAACCAGUCCAGCAUCUCUCUAUGGGCCUGAACCACAGAGAUGCCUUUCUCCCUGACUCCUCAGCCUUCUGAAAGUUUUUCCACAUUUUUUCUCCUUCCAAGAAAGCAAUGGUUCUCCAUCUCAGAGGUUCUGAUUUCAGGAAGCAUCCGUGGAGUGUAGUUCUGAGAAGAAAGCACCCAAAGUGAUGAAGAGUAGUGUGUGCAUACACCUAAGGCCCACACCCUUCUAGGGUGGGAGGGAAGCCAUAGCUACAGGUGCCUAUAAAAUCCAGAACUCACAAGGGUUCCUACCUCUUUACCUCAUUUUAGGUCUCAAUAGCUAUCUGUUUAGCAGCUAAGUUGUUGGUUUCCAGCAUGCUACAAAUCAAAUUAGUGACAUCAGACAACACAUGUGUCCCCAAGAGACCUGGCCCAUGAAGUAAGGCUGGAAGUCCUUAGUGGAUGGGGCCUGGGCACUGUGCAGGGCUAGACUGUCAGGGAUGCAACCUAGAUCCCUGCAAAACUCCCCAUGGAGCGGCCUCAGAGGACAACACCCUCAGUCUAUCCAUCAAUGUCCUCCUUGCCUUUGGCCUCUCUCCACUGGAGAUGUGAACAAAGAGAGAACAAGAGAGAUUAAUUUAUUUUUAAUCCUUCCUUUCUAGCAAGGGCUUGACCUCGGGCUUUGGCCUGUUUCAGCUUCUCCCCAGGCGAGACCAUAUUUCAUGCUGAAUCAUCAGUUUCUGGGGAAACAGAGCGCCACCCCACAGCGUACGGAUGGCCAUGCUAUCUUGAAGGAGCCCACAGGGGCUGCUCAGACAUUAUCUCAUCCAUCCCUACCCUUGGAGCAAGGUGGGAGCAAGGAGCCGUUAUCUUGGAUGUGCUGCUGAAGGAACUUUAGCCCAGAGACAAGGUGCUUCUCUGGAGUAGUGCAGUACCAGGCCCUUCUUAGCUCCAGGCAAACCUUCAGCAGCCCCUUGCUUCUUGGGCCAGAGGAAAGCAUGGCGGUGAAGAACCCUGCAGACCUUGACUACUCAGCUCUACCACUAUAUCUCAAGAGCAGCCAUAGGUCAGUGAACAGGUGUGGCUGUGUUCCAAUACAACUUUACUUAAAAAAACAGGCAGUGGGCUGACAUUGGCUCACAGGUCACAUUUUGCUGACCUCUGCCCUUAGUAUAAGGCUAUUUCUUGCUCAAGAAAUGAUCUUAGAAUGUCAGGUUGGAGCAAGGUUUCUCAACUGCAGUGUUAUUGACAUUUCAAGCCUGAGAAUUGUUAUAGGGGUCUGUCCUGUGCACCUUGGUCUCCGGGAGUCCUAAGCUGCCAUGUAAGAAACUGUACCACCCAGAGAGAAACCCCAGGAGAGGCUUUGAGAGUACAUGGAGAAGAGAGGCCCAGCAGUGCCCAGCCUGCAGCUGACCCCACCAAGGCCCUUGGCAUGUGACUACAGCCAUCUUGGAUGCUCCAGCCGAGGACAGCCACCAGCUGAGUAUCGCUGAGGGACCACACUCCAUGUCCACAUGGAGACAAACUUCCCAGCUUAGUGCCGAUGGAAUUCCUGACCCACAGAAUUCUGAUAUGUAAGAAAAUGGUUGUUUAAGCCACAAAGUUUUGGGGGCAUUUGUUAUACAACAAGAGGUAACUGGAUACAUAUCAGUGAAGAAUGAAAAAAAUCUAUCAUUUAACCAAAUAUCUUACCAACCUAGGUUAGAAAUCUGAUCAAAGGACAAUGAAAUGAUCAGAAACCCAUUGUGGUAGCAGAGUAUUUAGGUCACUCUCUUGGCAGAUUGUUGGCCCAGUAAGCCCCUAAUAUUCCUUUAGUGAGUACACGGAACCUCUUCUCCCAACAAGACUCGGGGCUUGUCAGGGAGGGCCCGCCACACCUCCUCUUCAUGGCUUGGGAAACCUGAAAGGCUGGCUCAUCAAUAUAUCGAUAGCCAAAGGCAAACAUGGCUUUACCAGUUCAGGCAGAAGCUUUAGAUGAUGUCAGCAUAGUCACAGUAGAAAGAUCACCAAACUACUGCUGCUUUUCUUAAAAAAAAAAAAAAAAAAAAAAAAAAAAAUUAAGA